CUACUGGGGUAUCUAAUCCUGUUUGCUCCCCACGCUGUCGUGCCUCAGCGUCAGUUCCGGACCAGUGAGCCGCCUUCGCCACCGGUGUUCUUGCGAAUAUCUACGAAUUUCACCUCUACACUCGCAGUUCCACUCACCUCUUCCGGACUCAAGAUCCACAGUAUCAAAGGCAGUUCCGAGGUUGAGCCUCGGGAUUUCACCCCUGACUUAUGAACCCGCCUGCGCACCCUUUACGCCCAGUGAUUCCGAACAACGCUAGCCCCCUUCGUAUUACCGCGGCGGCUGGCAC
rnacentral:rRNA from 1 species